CUCAUUAAAUCAGUUAUCGUUUAUUUGAUAGUACCUUACUACUUGGAUAACCGUGGUAAUUCUAGAGCUAAUACAUGCUAAAAACCCCGACUUCGGGAGGGGUGUAUUUAUUAGACAAAAAACCAAUGCCCUUCGGGGCUCCUUGGUGAAUCAUGAUAACUUAACGAAUCGCAUGGCCUUGCGCCGGCGAUGGUUCAUUCAAAUUUCUGCCCUAUCAACUUUCGAUGGUAGGAUAGUGGCCUACCAUGGUAUCAACGGGUAACGGGGAAUUAGGGUUCUAUUCCGGAGAGGGAGCCUGAGAAACGGCUACCACAUCCAAGGAAGGCAGCAGGCGCGCAAAUUACCCAAUCCCGACACGGGGAGGUAGUGACAAUAAAUACUGAUACAGGGCUCUUUUGGGUCUUGUAAUUGGAAUGAGUACAAUUUAAAUACCUUAACGAGGAACAAUUGGAGGGCAAGUCUGGUGCCAGCAGCCGCGGUAAUUCCAGCUCCAAUAGCGUAUAUUAAAGUUGUUGCAGUUAAAAAGCUCGUAGUUGAACCUUGGGCCUGGCUGGCCGGUCCGCCUCACCGCGUGCACUGGUCCGGCCGGGCCUUUCCUCCUGGGGAUCCCCAUGCCCUUCACUGGGUGUGGCGGGGAACCAGGACUUUUACUUUGAAAAAAUUAGAGUGUUCAAAGCAGGCCUUUGCUCGAAUACAUUAGCAUGGAAUAAUAGAAUAGGACGUGCGGUCCUAUUUUGUUGGUUUCUAGGACCGCCGUAAUGAUUAAUAGGGAUAGUCGGGGGCAUCAGUAUUCAAUUGUCAGAGGUGAAAUUCUUGGAUUUAUUGAAGACUAACUACUGCGAAAGCAUUUGCCAAGGAUGUUUUCAUUAAUCAGUGAACGAAAGUUAGGGGAUCGAAGACGAUCAGAUACCGUCGUAGUCUUAACCGUAAACUAUGCCGACUAGGGAUCGGGCGAUGUUAUUAUUUUGACUCGCUCGGCACCUUACGAGAAAUCAAAGUCU
rnacentral:rRNA from 1 species